GACAGAGGAUGCAAGCGUUAAUCGGAAUUACUGGGCGUAAAGCGUGCGCAGGCGGUUUUGUAAGUCUGAUGUGAAAUCCCCGGGCUCAACCUGGGAAUUGCAUUGGAGACUGCAAGGCUAGAAUCUGGCAGAGGGUGGUGGAAUUUCCUGUGUAGCGGUGAAAUGCGUAGAUAUAGGAAGGAACACCAGUGGCGAAGGCGACCACCUGGGUCAAGAUUGACGCUCAUGCACGAAAGCGUGGGGAGCAAACAGG
rnacentral:rRNA from 1 species